UGUUCCUACGGGACGCAGCAGUGGGGAAUAUUGCACAAUGGGGGAAACCCUGAUGCAGCGACGCCGCGUGAGGGAAGAAGGUUUUCGGAUUGUAAACCUCUGUCUUUGGUGACGAAAGAUGACGGUAGCCAAAGAGGAAGCUACGGCUAACUACGUGCCAGCAGCCGCGGUAAUACGUAGGUGGCAAGCGUUGCCCGGAAUUACUGGGUGUAAAGGGAGCGUAGGCGGGAAGACAAGUUGAAUGUUUAAACUAUCGGCUCAACCGAUAAUCGCGUUCAAAACUGUUUUUCUUGAGUGAUGUAUAG
rnacentral:rRNA from 1 species